rnacentral:rRNA from 1 species
UACGGGGGGGGCAAGCGUUGUUCGGAAUUACUGGGCGUAAAGGGCUCGUAGGCGGCCAACUAAGUCGGAUGUGAAAGCCCUUGGCUCAACUGAGGAAGUGCAUCCGAAACUGGCAGCUAGAGUACUAAAGAGGGUCGCGGAAUUCCCGGUGUAGAGGUGAAAUUCGUAGAUAUCGGGAGGAACACCGGUGGCGAAGGCGGCGACCUGGGUAGAUACUGACGCUGAGGUGCGAAAGCGUGGGGAGCAAACAGGG